rnacentral:rRNA from 1 species
AGUGAACGCUGGCGGUAGGCCUAACACAUGCAAGUCGAACGGCAGCACAGUAAGAGCUUGCUCUUACGGGUGGCGAGUGGCGGACGGGUGAGGAAUACAUCGGAAUCUACUUUUUCGUGGGGGAUAACGUAGGGAAACUUACGCUAAUACCGCAUACGACCUACGGGUGAAAGCAUGGGAUCUUCGGACCUUGCGUGAUUGAAUGAGCGGAUGUCGGAUUAGCUAGUUGGCGGGGUAAAGGCCCACCAAGGCGACGAUCCGUAGCUGGUCUGAGAGGAUGAUCAGCCACACUGGAACUGAGACACGGUCCAGACUCCUACGGGAGGCAGCAGUGGGGAAUAUUGGACAAUGGGCGCAAGCCUGAUCCAGCCAUACCGCGUGGGUGAAGAAGGCCUUCGGGUUGUAAAGCCCUUUUGUUGGGAAAGAAAAGCAGCAGGUUAAUACCUCGCUGUUCUGACGGUACCCAAAGAAUAAGCACCGGCUAACUUCGUG